GGAGGAAAGCAGGGGAUCGAAAGACCUUAUGCUUUUGGAGCGGCCGAUGUCUGAUUAGCUAGUUGGUAAGGUAAUGGCUUACCAAGGCAACGAUCAGUAGUUGGUCUGAGAGGACGACCAGCCACACUGGGACUGAGACACGGCCCAGACUCCUACGGGAGGCAGCAGUGGGGAAUUUUGGACAAUGGGCGCAAGCCUGAUCCAGCAAUGCCGCGUGAGUGAAGAAGGCCUUCGGGUUGUAAAGCUCUUUCAGUUGAGAAGAAAAGAUUGUGACUAAUAAUUGCAAUUCAUGACGGUAUCAACAGAAGAAGCACCGGCUAACUACGUGCCAGCAGCCGCGGUAAUACGUAGGGUGCGAGCGUUAAUCGGAAUUACUGGGCGUAAAGGGUGCGCAGGCGGUUC
rnacentral:rRNA from 1 species